rnacentral:rRNA from 1 species
UACAGAGACUGCGAGCGUUAUUCGGAUUCACUGGGCGUAAAGGGUGCGCAGGCGGCCGAGUGUGUGAGGCGUGAAAGCCCGGGGCUUAACCCCGGAAUUGCACCUCAAACUACACGGCUAGAGCAUUGGAGAGGGUAGCAGAAUUCGAUGGUGUAGCAGUGAAAUGCGUAGAUAUCAUGAGGAAUACCAGAGGCGAAGGCGGCU